rnacentral:rRNA from 1 species
CAACAUUCGGCGGCUUAUACUGCAGUCGAGGGGUAGCAGGGUAGCAAUACCGCUGACGACCGGCAAACGGGUGCGGAACACGUACACAACCCUCCUUUUAGUGGGGAAUAGCCCAGAGAAAUUUGGAUUAAUACCCCGUAACAUAACGAUGUGGCAUCACACUGUUAUUAUAGGUUUACCGCUAAGAGAUGGGUGUGCGGCUGAUUAGGUAGUUGGCGGAGUAACAGCCCACCAAGCCAACGAUCAGUAGCUGAUGUGAGAGCAUGAUCAGCCACACGGGCACUGAGACACGGGCCCGACUCCUACGGGAGGCAGCAGUAAGGAAUAUUGGACAAUGGACGCAAGUCUGAUCCAGCCAUGCCGCGUGAAGGAUUAAGGCCCUCUGGGUUGUAAACUUCUUUUAUAGGGGACGAAAAAAGGGCUUUCUAGCUCGACUGACGGUACCCUAUGAAUAAGCACCGGCUAACUCCGUGCCAGCAGCCGCGGUAAUACGGAGGGUGCAAGCGUUAUCCGGAUUCACUGGGUUUAAAGGGUGCGUAGGCGGGCAGUUAAGUCAGUGGUGAAAUCUUCGAGCUCAACUCGGAAACUGCCAUUGAUACUAUCUGUCUUGAAUAUUGUGGAGGUGAGCGGAAUAUGUCAUGUAGUGGUGAAAUGCUUAGAUAUGACAUAGAACACCAAUUGCGUAGGCGGCUCGCUACACAAAUAUUGACGCUGAGGCACGAAAGCGUGGGGAUCAAACAGGAUUAGAUACCCUGGUAGUCCACGCCCUAAACUAUGAUUACUCGACAUAUGCGAUACACUGUAUGUGUCUGAGCGAAAGCAUUAAGUAAUCCACCUGGGAAGUACGACCGCAAGGUUGAAACUCAAAGGAAUUGGCGGGGUCCGCACAAGCGGUGGAGCAUGUGGUUUAAUUCGAUGAUACGCGAGGAACCUUACCUGGGCUAGAAUGCAGUUUGACCGUAGGUGAAAGCCUAAUUUUGUAGCAGUACACAGAUUGUACGUGCUGCAUGGCUGUCGUCAGCUCGUGCCGAUGAGCUGUU